UUAACAAUCACCUCUCCUGGGAAGGAGUUUAUUAUUUAUAUAGUGCCAACAAAUUAUGGAAUGAACAUUCUGAAAUAUAUAUCUUGAGGUAGAAAAUCAGCUUUUUAUAGCAAGAUAAUGAGAAGUUAACAAGGAAAGUUUUGUGAUGCUUUAUAUCCUUUGAAAAUAGCUUGCAGUGCCCUCUGUCCUUUUGGUCUCCCUCGGGGUGCUUUCUGUGCUUUGAGAAAUAUUAUUUCCUUUGAGAAUUCCAUAAGGAGUAAGGAUGCACAGAAAUUUCGGGCGAAAAAAGGGUCAAAUUUGCCGAAAAUUACACCCUUGGUCUGGUAGCUGGGGGCUGCGCACUAAUUCAGUUUCAGUAACAUCGGAGCUGCAUGUAGGUGCCGCCGGGUGGCCGGUCUGGUGGCACAAACGGAGGGGCCGGCCACGUCCGAUAGUUACCUUGUGGCAGCCAUGUAGUGUAUGGUGGUGCCGCCGGGCCGGGUGGCCGCCUAGCUGGUCCGACGGCAGACUCUCUAAUACUGACAACAGUGCAGCUGUCAGCAUGGGAGGACUGAAGGAGGGAGCAGACCUGACUAUCGUGCUCCCUCAUGGUUACCACAAUUCCCAGCACAGCCACAUAAUAGAGUAGUGAUUACUCUAUGAUGUGUCCAUGCUGGGAAUUGUGGGAACUGAGAGGGAGCAUGAUAGAGAGGCAGAGACAACACAACAUUGCUGUCCUUGUCAUUCUCCCAGAGCUCCAGACAAGGUCAGCCUCAAGGGUUGGUGAAGGGGAGAAUAGAGGGCUAAGGGGGAUAAAGAAUCAGAGGAGGAAGAGUGAGACACAGGGGGAGGGAGUAAAAGAGAGAGAAGGAGAGACAUACAUGGAAAGUGGGGAGAAAGAGGCAGAGGGGAAAGAGUGAGACGCAGGGGGAGGGGGAGAAAGACAGAUGGGGAAUGUGGGAGAAAGAGUGUGAGGAAGUGCACUUUGCCACUUGGUCCUGGAGAGGCCUGCUUGCCAGCCUCCUGCCCUGCGACUAAGGCCCGGGGGGGGUGUGUCCCUGUAAGAACAUUAUUGGGGCUUAUGGACUUUCAUUGGACUGGUGCUGGCCCUUUAAGCACAUUUUUGGGACAUGGGGAAAAUUGGGACAAUGCCCCUUUAAAGACAUGUCCCCAGACUUGUUUGGGACACUGCCCCUUUAAGCCUGUGUCCCCAGACUUGGUUAAAGUACUUUAUUCAUGACUUCUUUACACUUGGUUCAGUAAAUGGGGCUUACUGAACCAAGUACCACACAGGCAGACUACCCAGAAGUGGAAGUGUGCAGGCAAUUUACCGCCCAGGCCAGGAGCCUGCUGUAGGUAAAUUGCCGACUGCUGGGUGGCCGCAGUUCGUGCAAACGAACACGUGGUGUUGGCCAUCUUUGUUCAUUCGAACGAGGUCAGCGGUAUGUGUAGCCAAAUCCAUGGAACUGAAAACGGCUACAUAUUUAGACGAACACCACUGACACGUACCUUCUUCUCCACUUCAACACUGCGGCUGGAGACUAAGUCCCGUUCGAAGUGUAAAAUAUACAAUAUACCGACCGCACAGCCCAAAUCCAUGGAACUGUUUUGGGCAUGAAAAUAUGCUUGCGGUCGGUCACAAUGUAUUUCCGUCUAACUUUUUAAGUACUGGAUGGAAUUUUAUGAUUUUUGAGUAUGUUUAUAUUUAAAGGAUGCUGAUUAAUAAUAUGUGAAGAUUGGAUGUGUGAUUUUAAAGUUACAGUGUAUGUUUAAAAACUGUAUAUUUUCUGCCUGUGAUAAUUAAGUUAUUCUAUUGUGUUGAGAGAAUUGUAUCAAAGGCAGAGGGGAGGAUUUCUGCUGGGAUGAAUGGGGGUGGUUUACUUUAUUGUAUGUGUUGUAAUGUUUUUAUUGGUUGAUCUGAAAAACCCUGUGGGUGGUCCUAUGUAGGGAAAACCUGCAUAAAAGAAAGCCCUUUGGUGCUAAUUAAAACCGUUCUUCUUGACCCUCAACACGUAGUCUUGUCUCGUGAUUGGAGGGCACAGCUAUACUCACACUGGGGAUUGCUAUGCUCUGCAUACUCCCCUGAGCUUUAAAUUACUUAGCUCUGUUAAGAGCUUGUUACUGAUACGCUCUCCUGGAGGAGAGGUCUUCCCCACACGGUCCUGGAGGACUUGAAGCUGAUCCAGGGUGGACAGAAGACGGCGAGACUCCAGUUGAGCUACGGCGGUUGUGGUCCUCGGCGAAGGCUAGGAAAGCAUCCACCACCGGAAGGUACUCUGUCGGAGUACGGGGAGUUCUGUUACAGAGGGGGAAGAGACAAAGGGGGGAGAAGGAGAAAGAGACAGAGAAACACAGUGGGAGAAAGACAGAGGGAGUAGAGAGACACACGGGGAAAAAGAGAUGCAGGGGGAGGAUGAGAAAGAGACAGAGGGGGAAGAGAGACACGGGCAGGAGAGGGGGGAAAGGUACAGAGGAGCAGUGAGGGGUAGAAGGAGACACAGAGGGCCUGGGGAAGAGAGACACACAGAGGGACUGCGGGGAGACAAAGACACAGAAGGUUUGUUGGGGGGGUGGGGGGGAGACAAAGACACAGAAGGGAAGGAGACAAUGACACACAGAAGGUUUGUGGGGGGCAGAGCUGGGUGUGAAAGAGUCACACAGAGGGACUGGGGGAGACAGAGACACAGAAGGGGGCUGGGGUGAAAGACAUACACAGGGCGGGAGAAGGGUAAAAAGAGACACAGGCUGGGAUGAAGUAAAAGAUACACAAGGGGAGUUGAAAGAGACACAAAGGAGAAAAAAAAUGGAGACAAGACACACUAAACGAGGUUAAAAAAAAAAAAAAAGUUUGAAAGAAGGAAUAAGAAAACACAAAAAAUGCCAAUAAAUUCAAAAGGGAGUUAAGAGAAACAAGAGAUUAUGUAUUAUUUUUGUGUGUGUUUGGGGAGGAGGGGGCAGGGUGCAUUUCAGCCUGUGUCUCCUGCUCUCCCUGUAACUCAGUUCUUCAGCACAAGAGUUUAUGCCGAAGAGCUAAAUGACAGGUGAGAGAAAGACCUCUUAUUAAAUAGAUUUUCCUUCCAAUAUAUACAUUUUCCUAGCAAUCUUGCUAACACAAUGUACAGAUAGACGUAAUUGAUUUGAUUCGGACUGUAAUACACACACACACAUUUUCUGUCCAGUUUUUGGUGUGUUACCUUCAAUUCAAGUGUGGUUAUUUUAUUGGCCUGUAGUUUUGCAUAUUAGAUUAAUUAAAUUCACUAAAAAAAGUCUAAUAUUAAUACAAUUAUAGAAAAAAAAACAAAAAAACUAGGGCAACCUAAUUUUUCAGUUACGGCCCAGAAUUUUUAUUUCGGUGCAUCCCCAGCAGCAUUAUGUACUUUAAAAUUCUUUGCAGUCCUCUUUGGGAUGAUCUUUGGGAAUUCCAUGGUGUGCAAUCUGGCCUUUGGGUCUCUUGGGUGGUGAACUUUAUGGAAUUUCAUGUGGUACAAUCUGGCCUUUGGGAAUAUCAUGCGGUGCAAUUUGAUUUUCGUGCAUCCCCCUGAUGUAUAACGAGAUAUGCACUCUUUGCAAAAGAUUUCUCACAUUCAGAACAAGAGAAUGGUUGCUUUCCUGAAUGUGUUCUCUGAUGUUUAAGACAUUGUGUCCUCCAAUAAAAACGUUUCCAACAUGUAGAACAGGAGAAUGGUUUUUCUCCUGUGUGAAGUGUUCCAUGUCCAAGAUUUGAAUUAUUUGCACAACUUUUCCCACAUUCAGAACAAGAGGUUUCAGACGUUCGUACACUCUUGUAUAAAUCACGGUCAGGUUUUCCUUCUGCGGCACUGUAUAUAUGAUCAUAAAGUGAGUGAGCAGAUGGAUAAUCUGCCUGUGUAUGUUCCAUGGAAGAAUAAAAGUCAUCGUCUGAGAGAUCUCCAUCAUUGGAGACAUAUUCCCGUUUAAUGGAAAAAGAUAGAAUGUCUGUCUGUGUACACUCUGUAGAUGUAGGAGAAUUCGUGUCUUCUUGCAAGGUUGGUUCCUGUUUAAUAGAAGUAGUUUUAGAAUCUCUCUCUAUAGGUUUUGGGUAUCUGAUGUCAAGGUCUAAAACGUGAUCUUCUGCGGAGGUUGAUUCUAUUUCACAUUUAACAUAUUUGCAUGGUAUGUCCAAUGGAUCAUCUUUAGAUUGAUAUUUUCUUUUGUUUAUAUCAGGUUUCUCUCGAUUUACAGAAAUGGGAUUAUUAUUUCCACUAGGUAUACAUCUGUCUGUGGAUUUACCUGUAGAAAAUAGAAAUACUGUUUAGGACUUUAAUUUAUCAUGACUGUCAGUAUAUUUAUAAAUUGGCAGACAUUUUGUGCUAAGACAGAAAUAGUGUAUAUUGCCAGUCACACUCAAAACAGAGCUGACUACUUCAGGCUAAAAAAAGACACAGAAUUUCUGUCUCUGAAACUCUAGUCAUUCAAGUCUGAGCUAAGGAAUGCGUUAUGUAAACAAGGCAAUGAUGUCUCGCAAGAAGGGGGAUGGAAUACUAUUUCUUAAUGUUAGUGGAAUAGAAAUAAGUUUAAACACAGACACAAGAACCAUAUAACCGUUACAGAUAACACUUUGUAAGAUUUAGAAAGUAAAAUUAAUUACUAAGUCCCAUUGUAAGGAAAAGGGUGAAAUUAAGGUUAAGAGGUGUCAAUACUAAAUUACGAUUGGAAUUGCCAACACUGUCUAGAGUAAAUCCUUUGAAAUUGACAGGAAUUAGAUUUAUGCAGUCAUAAAAUAGAUAAAGUAAUGACAUCAAAAUCAUCAUCAUUUUUAGUUAACCCAUUCGAGGACAAGAAAUUUUGAUGAUGUAAUGGCGCCAUCUACUGACCAAAAACUAGAUGAUAGAUAGGGUAGACACACCUACCGUUCCCUAUUGGCCUGAUCAACUACUGACGUGCAGAGAGUUUGGCCCUUUAAAA
rnacentral:lncRNA from 1 species